rnacentral:tRNA from 1 species
GAGGGAUUAGCUCAAUUGGUAGAGCAACCGCUUUACACGCGGUAGGUUAAGUGUUCAAGUCACUUAUCCCUUA